rnacentral:rRNA from 1 species
GGCAGCAGUGGGGAAUUUUCCGCAAUGGGCGAAAGCCUGACGGAGCAAGACCGCGUGGGGGAAGAAGGCUCUUGGGUUGUAAACCCCUUUUCUCUGGGAAGAACGCAAUGACGGUACCAGAGGAAUCAGCAUCGGCUAACUCCGUGCCAGCAGCCGCGGUAAGACGGAGGAUGCAAGCGUUAUCCGGAAUGAUUGGGCGUAAAGCGUCCGCAGGUGGCAGUUCAAGUCUGCUGUCAAAGACCGGGGCUCAACCUCGGAAAGGCAGUGGAAACUGAACAGCUAGAGUAUGGUAGGGGCAAAGGGAAUUCCUGGUGUAGCGGUGAAAUGCGUAGAGAUCAGGAAGAACAUCGGUGGCGAAGGCGCUUUGCUGGACCAUAACUGACACUCAGGGACGAAAGCUAGGGGAGCGAAUGGGAUUAGAUACCC